UACGAAGGGUGCAAGCGUUGCUCGGAAUUAUUGGGCGUAAAGCGCGCGCGGGUGGUCUCAUAAGUCAGAAGUGAAAGCCCUGGGCUUAACCCAGGAAGUGCUUUUGAUACUGUGAGACUUGAAUGUGGGAGAGGGUGCUAGAAUACCUAGUGUAGUGGUGAAAUACGUAGAUAUUAGGUGGAACACCGGUGGGGAAGCCGGGUGCCUGGCCCAACAUUGACACUUAGGCUCGAAAGCGUGGGGAUCAAACAGG
rnacentral:rRNA from 1 species